CAGUAGCCGCGGUAAUACGUAGGGUGCGAGCGUUAAUCGGAAUUACUGGGCGUAAAGCGUGCGCAGGCGGUUAUAUAAGACAGAUGUGAAAUCCCCGGGCUCAACCUGGGACCUGCAUUUGUGACUGUAUAGCUAGAGUACGGUAGAGGGGGAUGGAAUUCCGCGUGUAGCAGUGAAAUGCGUAGAUAUGCGGAGGAACACCGAUGGCGAAGGCAAUCCCCUGGACCUGUACUGACGCUCAUGCACGAAAGCGUGGGGAGCAAGCAGGAUUAGAUACCCCGGUAGUCCCUGUCUCUUAUAC
rnacentral:rRNA from 1 species